rnacentral:rRNA from 1 species
UACGGAGGGUCCAGGCGUUAUCCGGAUUUAUUAGGUUUAAAGGGUGCGCAGGCGGGUUAUUAAGUCAGUGGUGAAAGUUUGCAGCUUAACUGUAAAAUUGCCAUUGAUACUGAUAGUCUUGAAUGCGGUAGAGGUAGGCGGAAUGUGUAGUGUAGCGGUGAAAUGCUUAGAUAUUACACAGAACACCGAUUGCGAAGGCAGCUUACUAUGCCGUGAUUGACGCUGAGGCACGAAAGCGUGGGGAGCGAACAGG